CCUACGGGCGGCAGCAGUGAGGAAUAUUGGUCAAUGGACGAGAGUCUGAACCAGCCACGUCGCGUGAAGGAUGACUGCCCUAUGGGUUGUAAACUUCUUUUAUAUGGGAAUAAAAUGUUCCACGUGUGGGAUUAUGUAUGUACCAUAUGAAUAAGGAUCGGCUAACUCCGUGCCAGCAGCCGCGGUAAUACGGAGGAUCCGAGCGUUAUCCGGAUUUAUUGGGUUUAAAGGGAGCGCAGGUGGAUUGUUAAGUCAGUUGUGAAAGUUUGCGGCUCAACCGUAAGAUUGCAGUUGAAACUGGCAGUCUUGAGUACAGUAGAGGUGGGCGGAAUUCGUGGUGUAGCGGUGAAAUGCUUAGAUAUCACGAAGAACUCCGAUUGCGAAGGCAGCGCACUGGACUGCAACUGACGCUGAGGCUCGAAAGUGUGGGUAUCAAACAGGAUUAGAUACCCGUGUAGUC
rnacentral:rRNA from 1 species